AUCAAGCUGAAGAGUUUCAAAUAGGACGAAACGCGUGUCAAACUGUAU
rnacentral:hammerhead_ribozyme from 1 species